rnacentral:tRNA from 1 species
GACAAAGUGACUGAAAUAAAGUGAUAAAUUGUAAAUUUAUAUAUGGUUAUGAUACCCUUUGUCA